rnacentral:hammerhead_ribozyme from 1 species
CACUGCUGAUGAGUCCCAAACAGGAUGAAACAGCGGUCCAGGGC